UGCAGGUGUGUACUAAGUAACCGUGGGCACGGUUACGAACGGUUUUAUAAAGUUCUAUUUAUAGUAUGGUAACAAAAGAAUAAAAAAAAAGUAACGAUAUUUCAAUGUAUUUUCCUCUGAACACUUGAAAUUUUUACUACUUGUAAGUGUAGAGUUUUACUUUCUUAUCUCCCUAUCGUAAGCCAAUGAAAUUGAAAGUAACGCGUUUCAUCUCGACGCCGCAGGUGCCAAGUACGUCCUGAAGCUUGUCGACGAAGCCAUCGCCCGAACGGUCGCGGUGCUCGCAAUUCUGAACUCCCAACGAAUUCACCGAAGAGAGCCACUGGAUUCUGACUAGUCUUCGACUUCUGCUGUCAAUUUUCUGAUUGUCGGACACAACGAGUGGUUCAGGCUGACAUUAGGGCGCUGUGGACGGCGGUCGCCUUGACUCUAGCUUACAAUUAGUCUGACAUGCCGGUGAAAGAGUUACAUACACGACAGCAUUCACCACAAAGGGAAAGAUAUGUGUAUGGGAUCAUUCGUUCUUAAUUGAGCGUGAGAAUCCGCGUGUACAAGAAAUAGAGCGUUAACGUCGGGCAGGCUAUCUGUAAUUAGUCUGGGCAAAACGUGGCAACUCCGGGCACGUGAAACUAGAUGCAAUUUGUACUCGUUAAAUUACUAUUAUUCCUGUACGACAAUAUACACGUAUUCCUUUGACUGGAGCUUUUUUAACGGCAUUUGUUACAUCACCUACAAAAUGGAAGAAACAAUUCACCGUGGCCACUGAGAUAAAUACUCCGGUUGCAAGUCGUAGGAUAACGCUGGUGUGCAGAUACGUGCUGGACAAGAUAUUACGGAUUACAGAAGCUCAACUCUGAACGAAAGAAGAAGAACCUCAAACUUCACUGCAGAUGCUAAACUCCGCUGGACCCGAGACGCUGUUACAUUGACAAACGUCACGUAAUCGUGUGAAUAUUCAUGGGACGUUGAUUGUGGGCAUAGGUCUGGAUUUUGGACGGACUUCGUGCCGUUGUGUGACCAUCGCAAAUCCGCGGGUCCGUUUCUGUGGAUUCAGUGCGUGCAGCGUGAGGAGGGUCAGACCCAAGUCGUGGAACUGUUUUCUAAUGCACGCAUAAAUGGUUAAGAUUCAAGGUUAAACCGCGGAGGUUAAGAGUUAGGGGAAUCCUUUCAUGCCAGGCUUGAUCUGGUCGGCUAUCCGGCUAACACAAGAAAAAGAUUCCUGUGACGAAAAAAGGUCAUGGGCGCCUGUGAUCGUUAUCUCUCGUGUGUAUUAAACGUUAUGGCGAUUAUAAUAUCUACGGUAAUUGUUCUCGGUCUGUUACCGUUUUCUCGAGGGAGGCAGAACUUCGCACUCACAAACAUGUGUUUCAGGUGUAAUUAACGAUAAGCGGGGAUCAGAACUUUGCUCGCUUACUCAUCUCAGGGCUUGGGCGGUACGUGAAAGUGACUCUAGUCGCUGAUUAAUACGUCGAAAAGCCUGCAGUAUUUGUUGCGUUUCUGCUAACAACUGUAGAACUAAUUUCUCAAAGCGCUAACUGCGCAGAUGUAACUUAAAAACACAGUGUAAACCGUUCUGCAGUUCGUGGGAGAGAAUUACUUUCAAAUUAAUCGUGAUGCAUGUUUUGCACCUUGGCGUUGUUUUUCCGGGUGUCGACGGGAAUUUUCUUCAGCGUACCGUCCCGUCGUUCGCAAACGUCAAAUGUGAAAUGAAUCGAUAAGUAAAAAAUAAAUUUAUCCGAUUUCAAUUAAGUGGCUGCACCGUGUCAUUUGCGUGGGGGUGAGUCACGGUCAGUGUAAUUGCGAGUUGAUUACGGGAUGAUUACGAGGUUGGACGCGUUAUUCAAACUGCGUUAUGUGGUAGUAGGAUAGCUUGAAGCUCGUUAACGCCGUGACGGUUCUUUUGUUUUUUUUCCUUUUAUUUCUUUUUUUUUUACAUUUUUGCAACGUGCGAUCCUUGCCGACAACUUCCCGCGUCGUCGGUAAAAUUUUUACACCAGCACUGCAAAGUGUAGUGAUCGUCGGUGUGUGCAUCUCGUUAAAACUUUCCGAAUAACUAGAAAAAGUGAAAAGGAAAGAAAAUUAAUGAAAAGAAGAGUGGGGGAAGAAAAAGGAAGAAACAAUAGAAAACUCUGGUUCUAUUUUAAUUAUAGUAUUAAUGAAGGCUCGACAGUGAAAAAAUGUCUGAGGGAAUCGUUGAAUAGGUACGUCUCGCUACCAAAUUAAUGGUUGAUAUAGCACACGCUCAUUUGUAUAUUAAUCAGGUUUAUUCUCAGUAAUCAGUAUUAUAAUGCUCAAUCGGAUGCUACGAAAUAGAAUUCAUUCGCGAAAUCAUAUUACA